CCAAAACAACAUUGGGAAUGCUCCUCAUGACCCCCCCCUUUUUUUUUUUGCUUCGACUCCCCCAUUGUGACAACACUGAAAAUUUACAGAUAGCAGGACAGGACAUUUGGAUGUUUAAAUGUCAAUGUGAACGUUUGAGAGUAUAACCACGUGUACGCGCGCGAGCAUGUGUGUUUAUUUAAUUGUGAACUUCUCUUAUUACGUAUGACAUUUACUUUCAACUAGGAUAAGUGAAGUUAUCAUGUUUAACGUUGUAAAAAAAAAAUGAUAAAGUAUAUACAUUUGUACUAAUAGAUCCAUUACCUCGCUCUCUAGAACAUAUGUACUGCUAAUUAUUAUAUUUACUGUUUUUAAUUUUAUCGACCAAUAAUUAUGUCAACUUCCGUCCACAUUUUAGUGAUGUUUUGCAUUUGAGAAGCAGUAGAGGAUGUUCGUCGGUUGAUUAUAGCCGAUAAAUGGACUUAUUUCCAGUUCACUAUGACGAUGCGAGAGGUAAGACCUUGACAGAGUUGCUUAUAAACGGUAGGGGUUUGAUUAUCAUAUUAUAUCGAACUUUUCACCGAAAAUUGCAAGCGAUGCAGCUGGUAAAGCCGAAAACCAAGUGAUAUAACUUGUGAAUAUUAUGUUUACAGGAAGACAAUUCUUUAUUAUAGAUAUUUAAAACAUCGAGUGCCUGUGAUAUCCAACUACAAAGCAUUGAAUAUCCUCUAUGUAUUAGAUAUAAAAUAUCAUCGACGUACAUUGAAUAUCUUUUAAAGCUUAACUGAGUAUAAUGAAAUUGCAACAUGUAUUUGUAAGUAGUGAGUGCAGGUGCUCUGAACCAAAUAAACCAUAUACAAUGUAUCGUGACAAAUCAAUGUAACUGGCAGUGAAGUUGAUGCCAGUUGCGGACAAAAUAGCAUUGUUGUGACCAAAUAUUGAACAAGCAAAAGAUCCCGCUGUGGUUCCGGGUGUUAAAUCGUCCGUCACACUUUCUUCUUCCUUAAACUCCUCUUUUAUUUUAAGAGCUGUCUAUGAUAGAACCAUACAAAACCAAAAAUUUAUGAUGAUUGGUGUUGACGAAUUUUCAGAUCUUUCUAUAUUUCAAAAGUAUUUUGCUAGUUUUAUCUUGUGGCAAAAUUGAUGAAUAUCCCCGAACUCACAUUUAAAGGACCAUUCUAUUUUAGCACAUUAUUCAUGAUCAAUUUCAUGCAUAAAUGGGGUAAUUUCAAUCAGUCAUUAGAAUAUCAAAUAUAGAAUAAUCACAUAUAAAGUUAGAUCCAUAUAGUCUUUGUAUUAGUGAACAUAGCUUUUCAGUCCAUUCUCUGGAUUUAAAUCUUAUAGUGUUUUAAUUAGCCUAGUAAGAUUGUGUAAUUUCCCAAUUACAAUUUAAAUGCUAUAUGGCUAUAAAACCGAAAGAAACUUUAAAUAAAGAUUCCUGGUUUAAAACACAGAAUUAUGCAUAAAUUAUUAUACUAAACAUGAAUUUGGUUGCAAUUAAAUAGAAAGUCAUUUAUAUUGGGGAUAAAAUUUGGAAAUUUUAUCAGAAAAGUACCUCCCUUUGUCGAAGUAUACUUCAGCACACUCGAGAUCGGUGCACUUCUAGUUUUCCGGUCCCCAGAAUAUGGCGCUAAAAUAAGUGCUGUCGAAGGCGGUUUAGUAUAUACAGUAUGUAUAUACAUAUAGUACGAUCGCGUGAGUGAUCGAUAAAAUCCUUAAAACGGCAAAAAAGUCGCAAAAUUACGCUCAAAUUUGAAUUCCUUGUGCAAAAUGAAGUUUAAAUAACUGUGUGUUUUUAAACACAGUUUUUAAAAUUCGAAAUAAAAACAGAAUGCAAAAAUUUAUGUUCCAAAAUAGAUACAUGUACAAUCCGUUGUUCAGGAAAUAAUCACGUGUGCGUUAUUUUUCCUAAUUUUUCUGAAUAUUCAUAUCACUGAUAUUGAUAUAAGAAAAUUGAUACUGAUCUGGGAUUAAGAAAGGAUAUUGAUUCUUCCUAUUUUACGAUAUGUAUUUUAGCAAGUACGGCAUUGGGAAAAAUACUUUUAAAAAUGUUUUUUCAACAUUUGAACCUACGGACACUUCUAAAUGGGAACUGCCCCCAAACAUCCCUGAUUUUAUCAGGUUCCUAGCUAUUAUGAUUUUUUUUUUUACCUGUAUAUGCAACUCGUUUGGUCAGCUUGACUUGGCGAGGGCUGCCGUCCCAAGCCCCGCUUAGUUUCUCUCUUGAAAACGCCGCUGGGCAUUCUAUUAAUUAGUCAUAUACGUUUUACGAUGUGACCGUUGAGACGAGCGAAGACCCGUAACAUUUUGCAACACGACUUUAGACAUUUAAUCCGCCUAUUCAUUUAACGCGGGAAACAACACAGUCGGUGUCAAUCGGAUCACACUUGUCAUUUUCCGUAACUCGGGCGUGGAUCGGCGGAUAUAUUGCAUCAAAUCGAUGCAUUUCUUCGCCGGAAGCGCGCAUGUGGAUGACGUUUAAAGGCUAGAACUGAAUCACAAAACGCCCUAAAACUCAUUUUUAUAAAUUAGCCAUUUAAAUUCUAACAGGUAUGAACUGUGACUGUUUUAAUUAUCAAACACCCUUAAAGAAAUUUUAAAAAAAACCUUUUAAAUAUAUAUCGAUCUUAAUUACAGUGUUUUGUUUUGAUAAUUUUACAGAUACAAUAUCUUAUGUCAUAUUGUCAUUUACAUGUAAUUUCAUUUAAUUGUGUUUUAUUGUUGUAUUGCUCUUUUUACCCCUGUAAAGCGCUUUAGAGUAAUUUGUUUCAUAUAAGGCACUAUAUAAAUUUUAUCAUUAUUAUCAUAUUACUGUUUUAAGGACAAGAGGAAGAAGAAAGUCUGACGGAUAGAAGGACCAUAUUCGAACUUUCUUUAGAAAGUGCAUGUAUAAUGAAGUAAUAUAUGCAGCUAGUUCACAGCAAAUGAUAUUUGCUACAUCUACAUGUUCGCAACAAUGGUUCUAUAUUUAGAGGACAGGGUGCUAAUUGCAGUAAUUGUGGUAAAUUGUUCACUGCACGUUUUCUGCAUAUUUGUGGCAUUGUGUUGCAAACAGCAAUGCUCUAUACAAAUUUCUAAUAUAAUCGCAACAAGAUACAAGCAAUGUUGCAGCUGAUCUGCAGUAAUGUUUGCAUCAGGUGUACAUCAAUUGUUUUGCAGCAAGGAAUUGUUUUGGUAAAGGUGUGAAAGAAUAAGGGUGACGACUAAUUGUGAUGUUGUGAUAGUUAUCCACCCUUGUUCAGGGUGACGUGACAUCAACAGUGAGUACCUCUUCCACAAAGCCGAUAGGGUCAGGAUAGAGAUCUGGAAAACGUUACGAUGAUGAUGGGGAUGAAGAAAAUUAAAAUUCACAGCAAUAUGAUGAGCCAGUUACUCAAUUAGCGGGGAUCAACCCAGCCCCGUGUGACGGGAGAAAAGGCACCUGUCAUGAUACAUAUGGUGAUUGGAUCGAACAAUAAACCAAAUCAAGUGCUUUAAACUUUUCAGUAGAAAAAUCAAUAUCACUACAUAGUUUACAAAUGUUUACUCAUAAUCUUAGAUAUUAAUGUAUAUUUUAUCAGAAAUUAUUAAUGAUUGUGAUCAUUAUAUUGCUACAUGUAUUUUAGUAAGAUAAACGGAAUUGCUAGUGAUAAGAAUGACAUAUAUAAGUUUGUAUAACUACAAAAAAUAUAUUCUAAAUUAAAAGCCCACUUAGUUUAAUUGCCCCCCUAGUUGCCCCUACCACUAAUGAACCAAACUAGUGCAUGGAAGCUUUGGAGAAGUCUGGUUUAGUGCAGAUCCAAGAUUUGUCAAAAGGGAACCCAAUAGGCUAGGAACUCUAAGAGUUUUGAGGCAUUUUUUGUUACUUUUAUGGGUUAUUCUUGCUAUUCUUUAUAUACAUAAUAAAAUCAAUAAAUAACAACAAUUAUUCAUAGUACCAUUGUGUAGGCUACUAUUGCUGUUCGUAUUUUACAGAAUAGCUAAAUGCAGACAACUGCAAUCUAUUAUGGAGCUAAGAUUACUAUGUAUAUAGAUCUAAUGAUUCAAAAGAGAAAAAUACGUGAGCACUCAUGUUAAUAUCCAAAUCAGAACACGUCUUCAGUCUGUAAAUGGGUGAUCAUCAACUUAUCGAAUUUACCGAAACUGUAAUCAUUACGAUAUGUUAACAAAUUUUAAUCAAUCUACUGACCAAGGAAUGUAAAUUAUUAAUUCAAUGGAUGAAAAACAAAUCUCAACAGCCUGCUUGACAAGAGCAAUGAGAAUUAAGCAUUACAAAAUCCGAGUGAGGAUCGUCAUCCUAUCGUUUCGAUGUGAUUUCUACACUUUUAUGAGUGGUUACAUUGAUUGUAUCUUGCUUAACGUCUCUCUCGAGAAUUUUUCACUCAUAUGGAGACGUCACCAAGACCAGUGAAGGGCCUCAAAUUUAGGCCUUUGCUCGGCUCUUACGGCCAUUGAGUAGUGAGGAUUCUUUAGUGUGCCACACCUACUGUACUUUGACAUGGGACAUUCGUUCUUAAGGUCAUCUCCGAGGACCCGUGACAUUCACGCCUGAUGCCGAGCGUUUGGCGAUGGAACUGUCACUGCCUGUUUUAACGACUUAGGUUUGUCGCGGCCAGGAUUCGAACCCCUGUUUUCCGCAUGCGGGGUGAACGCUCUAACCUCUAGGCCACCGCGGCGGUCUUUUGUGAGUGGAAUGAAAUAUAUUUGAAAGCAUACAAAUUACAAUUGAAAGUAAUCUAACAAAAUUUUAACCGGGAUUAUCUCGAAAGCGUUUGCAGUCGCCGCCAUUGUUUACUUUCUUUGUCCGAGUCUCCGUUAUUGCUAUGAUGUAACCAUUGUAGGCGGGGUUUAUGCUGUGACAGUGGAUCGGUGUGUUGUGGUAGAGGCCUUCUUCCUCUACAUGACUAUGCCAAAUACAUGUAUAUAUGCAUCUAGAAUAACCUAGGUCAAUUGAUAUGAAAACUAUACGGACGUGACAUACUUCAAAUUGGUCAAUACAGCAUCAAAUGACACCGAUAUAUAUUGGGAUUUAUGCAAUAUGGAUAAACCUGGUUAUUCCGUGCAGGUCCGUUUACUAGUACUUAUUGUUCAAAGAUCGAUAACUUUUCCUAAGUGUGUUUAGUGGUAACUUUGUCGGGUUCGACGUUUAAAAGUUAUUUACAUCUGCGCAUGUCAACUGAGUUCUUCCUUUUUAUUUCAUAAUUUAAAGAGAGCAGACGGGGGAAAAUCAAAACCCACCCUCCCUCGCAUUUAAGUUUUGACGGUUGUUUUAAUUUCUCUUUUCAGCGUCAUGGCUAAGAUGAUAUUGUGAUGAAUCAGGUUAUACCAAUCUAAGAAAAUCGGGUGGUAUGAGGUUUUUCCAUGGUGAUAACAUGUUUUCCCUACAGUGAAAUGGACUGGGUCAGUGCUAUAUAUACAGCGGUCGACCGAAGAUCAGUCAGUCUGAUCUCCGCAGCUGUGCAGAGAAGUACACAAAAGAGAAGCUGAAUAAGCCGAUCCUUUAACAACUUCCUCCAUUCAAAGGUGAUAUGGUCUUGUAUUCUCCCACGUAUGAAAUGCCGUUACUCUGACAACACCCUUAUUAUGGAAACCCUACUAAUUUUCUGAUGAAAAGUCAUCUGGAACGGCUGUUGUAUGCCACUUCGAGUAUCCAAGUGACAUGACAUGAAUGAGUGGCACUGGUGAUCAGAGACCAGUGUAUGUUUGAUUAUCGUAAAAGACAUGUAGGGAUUGACUUCCCAUGGGUCAAUGGUAAAUACUGAACUAUUGCACCUCCCAGAAUCAAGUGUGGAGGUUUAUUCUACCAUGGUUUCCAUGUCUGGUUCUGCAGCUAUAUGUUGCAGGUUUCCGUAAUAUUUAUCUCCGCCUUGUCUAGAAACAGUUCUACCACGUGACAUCGCGCGUGAUGGUGGUGGAAUAAUUCUU